AUGAUGAAUACACUCACUCUUCUGCUGGUUGCUCUCUCUCUGCCCUGUUAUACAGGUCAGAGUAUGGAGUCCAUUCCUUCCAGUUCAGUAAUGAAAAAGCCCGGGGAGAGUCUGAGUCUGUCCUGCAGGGGAUCUGGCUUCACAUUUAACUGCUGCGUUAUGAGCUGGAUCAGACAACCUGCAGGAGAAGGAAUGGAAUGGAUAGGGAGCGGUUACUCAGAUUCAAGUCGUAACACUUAUGCCAGAAGUGUGCAGGGCCGUGUAGAAAUCAGUAGAGAUGACAGCAACAGCAUGGUGCAUCUGAGACUGUCCAACUUAAAGCCAGAGGACUCUGCUGUGUAUUACUGUGCAAAACACACAGUGGUUAAAGGAAGCAGAGAGGCUUGACAAAAACCUCAUACUAAUUAUUUCC